rnacentral:rRNA from 1 species
CAAGUCGAGGGGCAGCGGGGAAUAAGCUUGCUUAUCCGCCGGCGACCGGCGCACGGGUGCGCAACGCGUAUAGAAUCUGCCCUGUACUGGGGAAUAGCCCAGAGAAAUUUGGAUUAAUGCCCCAUGGUAUGUAUUAGCGGCAUCGCUUAUACAUUAAAGGCUACGGUACAGGAUGACUAUGCGUCCCAUUAGUUAGUUGGUAAGGUAACGGCUUACCAAGGCAGCGAUGGGUAGGGGCCCUGAGAGGGGGAUCCCCCACACUGGUACUGAGACACGGACCAGACUCCUACGGGAGGCAGCAGUGAGGAAUAUUGGACAAUGGGCGGGAGCCUGAUCCAGCCAUGCCGCGUGCAGGAAGACGGUCCUAUGGAUUGUAAACUGCUUUUGUACGGGAAGAACAAGGGGCACGUGUGCCCCUCUGACGGUACCGUAAGAAUAAGGAUCGGCUAACUCCGUGCCAG